rnacentral:tRNA from 2 species
GGGGCCGUAGUCUAGCCUGGCUAGGAUGCGUGGCUUGGGCCCACGUGACCCCGGGUUCAAAUCCCGGCGGCCCCA